UACGGAGGGUGCGAGCGUUUAUCGGAAUUACUGGGCGUAAAGCGCGCGUAGGCGGCUUGUUAAGUCGGAUGUGAAAUCCCCGGGCUCAACCUGGGAACUGCAUCCGAUACUGGCGAGCUAGAGUGCGAUAGAGGGGGGUAGAAUUCCUAGUGUAGCGGUGAAAUGCGUAGAUAUUAGGAGGAAUACCGGUGGCGAAGGCGGCCCCCUGGAUCGACACUGACGCUGAGGUGCGAAAGCGUGGGUAGCAAACAGG
rnacentral:rRNA from 1 species